rnacentral:rRNA from 1 species
GACGAACGCUGGCGGCGUGCUUAACACAUGCAAGUCGAACGAUGAAGCCGGAGCUUGCUCUGGUGAAUUAGUGGCGAACGGGUGAGUAACACGUGAGUAACCUGCCCUUGACUCUGGGAUAACUGCGGGAAACUGUAGCUAAUACCGGAUACGACCCUCGGAGGCAUCUCCUGGGGGUGGAAAGAAUUUCGGUCAAGGAUGGACUCGCGGCCUAUCAGCUAGUUGGUGAGGUAAAGGCUCACCAAGGCGACGACGGGUAGCCGGCCUGAGAGGGUGACCGGCCACACUGGGACUGAGACACGGCCCAGAGUCCUACGGGAGGCAGCAGUGGUGAAUAUUGCGAAAUGGGCGCAAGCCUGAUGCAGCAACGCCGCGUGAGGGAUGACGGCCUUCGGGUUGUAAACCUCUUUUGUCAGGGAAGAAACGGGAUUGGCUAAUAUCCGAUCCUAAUGACGGUACCUGAAGAAUAAGCACCGGCUAAC